CCUGGCUAUGGUGCUGUCCCGUGAGGAAGUGUGUGAGCAGACCCUCUCUCUCUGCUGAACUCCGCCAGGGGCAUCCUUCAUGCUUUGUCAAGGCAAUGAUGACUGAGCACCAAUUAUCCAGCAGGCUACCGUUGUUUCCUAGGUCGGCUUGGUCAUCAGGUAACUAGUCAGUCCGUUGUCUUUACAAAUGUAACUGGGCUUAUAUACAUUAAGCAUUAACAACCUAUGGAUUUCAGGUGGGACCUUCCACAGGGCAUUUAAUCUGCCUGGGACUGAUUUAUCCUCCAGGCCGAAUCUGUCGCUAAGCCAGCUUCAACAGCGGGGACCAGCAAGGCAGUAUGAGUUACAGUGAAAAUCCUUAGUGAUACACCAUCCUUUGCAAAGACUCAUCUCCCAAGAUCAAGGGCUCAGGGCCCACCCCUUAUGUAAGCAAAGCCAUUAACGUUGGCCUUCCCUGUGUUUCAAGAAGCCCUCUCCCUUAAAGUCCAUCCUAGCAAGUCAAAGGCUCAACAUACAGUGCUCAUCGUCAGUUUGACCCUUUAAAUAUUCAAGCACUCGCCACACCCCAGAAGCCACCCAGCUCUUUCAUCCACCAGGGGAAAGGCUCACGUGUGGGCACACGCCACAGCGCCACAGCCCACGUCACCAGCCUCUUAGGCCACAGGCAGGGAAAACGUCAACGCGUUGAGAUCCCCAGAGGCAACAGCAAAGCUGUACGAAGAAGCAACGCCCAAACAACGUGAUUGGCAGCCUGACCCCGAAGAAGCAACGCCCAAACAACGUGAUUGGCAGCCUGACCCCGAAGAAGCAACGCCCAAACAACGUGAUUGGCAGCCUGACCCCGAAGAAGCAACGCCCAAACAACGUGAUUGGCAGCCUGACCCCGAAGAAGCAACGCCCAAACAACGUGAUUGGCAGCCUGACCCCGAAGAAGCAACGCCCAAACAACGUGAUUGGCAGCUUGACCCCGAAGAAGCAACGCCCAAACAAUGUGAUUGGCAGCCUUUUAUGGUCAGAGCAUUUCAGCAGAAAUAUAGGGCAGCCUGACCCCGGGCUAGCUCAUGGCGUAAAGAGAGUUCUAUGAACUAACAGAGUGUCUUGUAGAUGGGACACCCUGAGACUAUUCCCACGUCAGUUCAAAGGCUAGAGUGUCCACUGGAUGUCACUGAAGUCCCCAGCAUCACCCAGACCCGCCUCUGCUUCCAGGUAAUUCAUGAAGGCAGCCACGGCUGUGUCCUCAUUGUCACACAGCGCAUCGAAGUCCAGCUGGGCACCAUCGCCUGGAAGUUAAAACACCAACACCGGCGGCUACGUGAGGUCUCGCUAAGUUGCCUAAGCUAGCUUUGAGGUCACCCUGCAUUCCACGUCUAAAGUUGCAGGGUGACAGAUGUGCAGCACCAGCCCACAGGUGUGAUCAUUGAAGGUGCAGCGUGCAUUUCCGUCAGCUGGAGUGUGUCAGGGCACAGAACAAGCAGACAAGAUGUCAUUUCUCAAAAAGUAAGACACACGAGCCGAUUCACCAUCACCUAGAACCCUGGCGGCAAACCUUCAACAGAAGGAGACACGGAACUUGCAGUGGAGGCUAAACUAGCAAGGUGCAUCGAAUGCAUACAGGGCCUGCGGAGGCCGGGAGUUACAGGCAGCUGUGAGCCACCACGUGGGUGCUGAGAACCAAAUUCAGGUCCUGUACAACAGCAGCCAGUGCUCUUAACCACCGAGCCAUCCCGUGUUUGGUUUGUCUGUUUGUUUGACUUUCUGUUUUUUUGAAAUAUGGUUUCUCUGCCUACCCCUGGCUGUCCCGGAACUCACUCUGUAAACCUUGAACUCAGAGAUCUGCCUCCUGGUGGUUUUGUUUUUGUUUUUGUUUUAAAUAGGGUCUCGUGUAGAUGAGCAAGAUUACUCCUUAUCUUCCUGGUUCCACCUCCCAAAUGUUGGGAUUGCAUGCAGGUGUCACCACCAUAUUCAGAUACUUAGAAAAAAAUAUUUUGCAUGAAAUACACGAGCACAUCCCCAUGGUUAGAGAGAGAGGGAGAGGGAGAGAGAUAGAGAGAGAUGCGAAAACACACUCUUCACGAUCGUCUCUCAUUUGUCUGGUGACUUGUAAUGAACACAGUGGACACGGAAGAGAGCUAUCCGCAGGGAGACCACAUGAAAACACCAGUCCUGUUCAUGGGGAACUCCACCCAGCGGGAAACCAGCCACGUGGGCAACUACCUAUGGGCGGUACCGUGUUCCACUACAGCAGAGUCUCCCCUCUUAGACGGAAAACCACCUUCAUAAAAACACGUGCUGGAUGGUGAGACAGGACCCCGAGCUGAGGCGCCGGCUUACCUUCUGAGGACUGGCUGCUGCAGGGAGGCAAGGUUGGCGUCCCCGUGUCACUGCGUCCCCUGGAAGUCAGAAAAGCACAGGUGGCAUUCCCUGGGGCGCGGGGAACCCACGACGCGUCCGCGCUGGCUCCGUGAGUUUGAUCUGCCGGCUUCCACUCAUCGACAUUUUACUGUCCACACCCUCGGCUAAGACUGGGAUCAAACGCCCCACUGGUCGGCCCCACCCCACAGCAACGGCGCCCGGUUCCCAGCGUAGAGCCUAGGUCCGCAGCUGUGUUGGGAUGGCUGACAGGAACAUGGAGAUACUCGCCUCCCAGUGAUGUUUAAACUAAACGUUAACAGAUGAGCAAAUGGAA